rnacentral:rRNA from 1 species
UACGGAGGAUGCAAGCGUUAUCCGGAAUGAUUGGGCGUAAAGCGUCCGCAGGUGGUUUUGUAAGUCUGCUGUUAAAGCGUCAUGCUCAACAUGAUAAAGGCAGUGGAAACUACUGAACUCGAGUGCGUUCGGGGCAGAGGGAAUUCCUGGUGUAGCGGUGAAAUGCGUAGAGAUCAGGAAGAACACCGGUGGCGAAAGCGCUCUGCUAGGCCGCAACUGACACUGAGGGACGAAAGCUAGGGGAGCGAAUGGG